AUACUAUAAGAAUUAACCCCUGAGAAUAGCUCAGGGCUCAGAAUUUGUCAUGCUAAUACUCUGAGCCAUCGUGCACGAAUAAAAACCUGUUUUCUCCAGCCCUUCGUGGUCUUGUCUUCUGAUGAUUUAACAUUGUCUAUGUCUGUGGAGGCAGUGCUGCUUAUCUGUGAUUUUACAUCAGUUCAAUUUUCUUCUCCAUGAUACAGAAAGAUCCUUCCAGAAAGAAGUAGGUUUUUAAAGAUGGCCUGAAGAGAAAGUUUACUAGAUAUCCGGUAAAAGGAGGACAUGUUCUCUGUUCACCAGGCAUAGCCUAAAAUCAAAUAUUGUCUGGCUUUUUGAGUACUUCUUCUUGAGCAAUUUUUCUCUGUGUGACAGUGCUUCCCUAAUAAGUGCUAAUGGCAAGUUAACAAGCUCAGCAAUACGACCUUAAUUGGUUGAUUAGUACCCUCCUGCUUGCCCUGCUGCCUGGAAUUGACAGGACCUUAAUCAGUUACAUGUCAAAGGCUUUUGCCUCUUAACCAGCUCUAACACACUCCUGCAACUGAAAAAAACGGUCUUUCUGAUGCUGGAAAAAAGUAAUAUAUACUAUAUGUGUAUGUUUAUGUACUUUGGGGGGGCAGGUUUUCACUGUAACUUUUGUUGCAAAUGCCAAAAAAGUUAAGCAAUUAACAUGUCCUCCUUUCCCCCCCUCCCCAGCUCAUUUGUCCUCCUUUUCAAUGGUCCAUGCCCUCUUUUGACUCUUCAGAUACAUGAUAACCCUACCUAGAGAGGGCCAAGAUGAAGGCCAUGUGGAUCUCUGGAGGUAUGCUGUCCCCCAGGGUAGGUUAUUAUUAAAAUAUCACUUUUUUUUCUUCCUAGCAUUUUCCCACAAAUGCAGAAUUUUCUUUUUGUGAGUGUUGAUCUAUUGGUUGCAACAGGAAUUGACUGAUCAGCUUCUUGUCCAAGCCUGACAUCAACAGCUGAGAAUGAUUGACUCAAAGUCAUCCAGUGGGCUUUCAUGUCUAAGUUGGGACUACAAUUCACAUUUUCCUGGUAUUUUGACAGGUGCCUUAAUCAUGAGAGAAAGAAAGAGGAAGAGGAAGAGAAAGAGAGACUAUUUAUGGCUCUAAUUAAUCUUAUUACUUGGGAAGAAGGAAGGAAAUGAAUUUCAUCUAAAAUAAAAUAUGUUCAUAUUUUAUGGCAUCUUUCCCAAAAUGGUGUUGCUGGAAGUUAACUCAUAAUUCCCAGCCCAGCUCAGCUGAAAGGCACUAGCUUGCAAAAGGCUAUUACAAGUACUCAUGUUUAUAUUGAAGUCCUUACUCGAAGAACGGCAGUGAUGUUUUGAUAUACAACUUAGUGUGAUAUAAUACACAUAGUUUCUAGUUAAAAACAUGACUUAUAAUUUAACACUACUAUUUUGAUGCUUCAGUAUAAAGGUGUUCUGUUAUUGGAUCUCUAUUAUUAGUAUCUAUUGUCUGUCCAAGACCUAUACAGCUUUGUCAACAACAUCAAACGUCAACUAGAUUUUUUUCCCAUUUCAAUAUGCACUCAGGGUAUUUUGUUUUGAGAACUCCCCCCAAAGUAAGGAAGGCAGUCACUGCUGCAUAAUUGGAGCCUGGCCACUUUUUAUGUGCAUCAAAAAAGGAGGGGCUUCAACUGUAUGGUCAGGACUGCCACCUGGAUGUUUUUAACAUUCCAUGGAAGCCUCUGAAUCCAGCUCUGAUAAAUAUGUCUAACGUUAACAAGUUUGGAUCCCAAAUGGCUCCUCUUUCACAUACUGCAUAGGUAGGGACUAUUUCGGACCACUUCCCCUUCACAUUCAGCAUCAUGUGUUAGGUCCAAAAACUAUUUUUCCAAGACUUCCCAAUCCCCCAGAAGCAGAUUUUCAGGGGACCACAAAAGGAAUUAUAUAUAAAGUCAACAAUUUCCUAAAAGAACAAUGUUCUAGCAACAUAUACCUAAUUUAACAUUGCCAAUCACAAUGUGUUAAUCUAACAAAUAAGGAGAAUAAAUAAAAUCAUUUGAUUGGUUGAUUUUCUAAAGAAGACAAGUUAUCUUUGGGUCAAGCUCAAUUCCAGAUCACUCACGGUAUAUGUACACA